rnacentral:lncRNA from 1 species
ACGAAUAUGAUGUAUUGCAUAAUAUGUUGUUGAUGUGGAUGGAUAUUGGAUGACCCACUAGCCCUCGAUAUGCUAUGUUAUGAUACGGUAUGGAAGUCUAGUGAGGCCCAUUCUACGCCCCUGGCAUAUUGGAUAUGUUAUGUUAUAUCAUGUUUAAGAGAAAGUCCAGUGAGGCCCAUUCUACGCCCCUGGCACAAUUGGAUAUGUAGAGGGUUAGUGGCGACAAAUCUAUCCUUGAUGUGAAUUGUUUGUGUUGUGAUGCAUUUCAUGAAAGCAUAUGUUU